rnacentral:rRNA from 1 species
CCUACGGGUGGCAGCAGUGAGGAAUAUUGGUCAAUGGACGAAAGUCUGAACCAGCCAUGUCGCGUGCAGGAUGACUGCCCUAUGGGUUGUAAACUGCUUUUAUAUGGGAGUAAAAGAGGAUAUGCAUACCCUCUUGUAUGUAUCAUAUGAAUAAGGAUCGGCUAACUCCGUGCCAGCAGCCGCGGUAAUACGGAGGAUCCGAGCGUUAUCCGGAUUUAUUGGGUUUAAAGGGUGCGUAGGUGGAUGGUUAAGUGAGUGGUGAAAGUCUGCGGCUCAACCGUAGAAUUGCAUCUGAUACUGUCAGUCUAGAGUACAGUAGAGGUAGGCGGAAUGCGUGGUGUAGCGGUGAAAUGCUUAGAGAUCACGAAGAACACCGAUUGCGAAGGCAGCAUACC